UACAGAGGGGGCAAGCGUUUGUUCGGAAUUACUGGGCGUAAAGGGCGUGUAGGCGGUCCGCUAAGUCUGAUGUGAAAGCCCGGGGCUCACCCCCCGGAAGUGCAUUGGAAACUGGCGGGCUUGAGUGCGGCAGAGGGGGGUGGAAUUCCACGUGUAGCAGUGAAAUGCGUAGAGAUGUGGAGGAACACCGAUGGCGAAGGCAGCCCCCUGGGCCUGCACUGACGCCUCAUGCACGAAAGCGUGGGGAGCAAACAGG
rnacentral:rRNA from 1 species